rnacentral:lncRNA from 1 species
ACCAAUAAUCUACAGAAUAGAGAUGGAGGAUGGGGAUUGCAUAUAGAAGGGUGCAGCACGAUGUUCUGUACUGCGCUAUCAUAUGUCACUUUGAGACUGCUUGGAGAGACAAUGGACAGUGGGGAUGAUGGUGCCAUGGAAAAAGCCCGAAAAUGGAUCCUUGAUCGCGGUGGGGUCACCUCCAUUCCAUCUUGGGGAAAGAUGUGGCUUUCGGUACGAACCAUUCAUUACAUCCCUGUAAUCAUCCUCCGGUCUGAACGUCUUGGUGCAAAUUUGUUCACGAAUGUUGGCAUUUCAAGGCUAAAAUACACAACAAUUUAGCACUGAAUUGCGAGCAAACCGUAUACAAUUAGUUCACAUUUUAUAUUACUGUUUUUUUAUUUUAUCUUCACAACUCAUUAUUUAGAUUUUUGCUACCUAUAUUUUUCGGCAAAAUAAAAAUAGGUGCUUGGAGUAUACGAGUGGAGUGGGAACAAUCCACUACCCCGGAAAUAUGGCUUCUCCCUUAUUUUCUUCCUUUUCAUCCAGGUAAAAACUAAUUUUGUUUGUGUGUUUGUUUAUAUUAUCUAUAAUUCAGCUUUUUUAUGUGUAAAUUCAAAACCUUAAAUUGAUAUUUUAAGUGAAAACGAACUCGUUAUACCAUGUAGUUAAUUAAUAUCGGAUGUUUAUGUUUUUUGAUCCGGGAUCUUAAAAUGCGGGAAAAAUUCAGGAAAGUUUUAAAGGCGUGAGAUUUUAAAAGUUUAAAACUUAAAGAAUUAAAACCGCACGGUUUAUACGUUUUCCAGAACUUUCCCACACUUUAAAAUUUCCAAACUUUAAUUACUAUGGCCAUAAAAAUACGGGGUUAACUAUAUAUCAAUAAUCAUAAUUUAAUUUUGGAUUUUAUAGAAUAAAUACAUGUACGUCGGAGAAAAUUUCCCAUAUUGUCGUGUUAGUACAUUUUGGAAUAGUAAAUUAAUUAGUUAUAGUUUUGAAUGAUACAAGUAAAUGGAUCGUAUAAAUUGAUGAAAUUAAUGCACGUAUGCAGGACGUAUGUGGUGUCAUUGUCGGAUGAUGUAUUUGCCAAUGUCGUAUUUGUAUGGAACCAGAUUUGUCGGUCCAUUCAAUUCUCUUAUUUUAUCUCUUAGAAAGGAGCUCUACACGCUUCCUUAUCACUCCAUCGAUUGGGACCAUGCCCGAAAUUUGUGUGCCAAGGUACAAUAAAAUUAAAAUAAUCUUUAUUCCAUUCUAUUUAAAUUUAAAAACUUCAUAACUUUAUGUGCGACAAGAGAAAAGACAAGCCGAAUUAACUUAAUACUCUACUAAUAAUAAAUAUUACAAUUACAGUAUUAAAUGUCAAUUUUUUUCCUCAUUUCUCUUUUAUGUGAUAAUUUGAGAAAAAGAGCGAACCCAUAUUGUUUAAUAAGACUAAUCGAAACCCUUUGAUAUUUUAAAAUAUGUUUAAAUGUUUUUAGGUGUCAAUUUGUUUUUGUUAAUCUUAUCAUUUUAUCCUUUGUGGUUGUUUGACGUUGGGGUUAUAUGAAUAUAUAUAAUUCUUUAAUUAAUUGACUAAUUAUUUUUUUCAUAACUAAUUGCAAAAGUAAAUGAAAAAUUAUGGAACAAGUAAGCAAAAUUGUCAUAAAAUUUUAAUUAGUUAUGAAUUUUUACAAAACAAUUGAAAAUUAAAUAUAAAAGUUUAAUUUAUAUAUAGUCAUUAUCUAAUUAUGGAUUUCUUAAAUUAUUAAAGUAAGAGAUAAAGUAAAAGACAAAAUACACGCUCCAAUAUAAGGUGUUUUAUCCGAUCGUGUAUCGAAUUGUGUGUCUCUUCUGUCUUUUAAUUUAUUCUUUACUUUAAUAAUUUAAGGGAACCGAAUAUAUAUAUAAUGAAAUUCCUUUACUUUUACCCAUAGUUUUUCAGUUAAUUAUAAAUUAUUUAAUUAAUUAAAUAAUUAAAGAUAUUUAUUUAAGGGGUUCCACUCAUUUUCCUUGAUAACUUAAUAGAAAAAUAAUUUUAUUCUAGUGUCAAUGCGUGGUUAAUUGCUCAAAUUAAUAAUAAUGAGUGGUACGAUUCGCCAAUUGGAGCUUUAAAUAAUGUUGGCGUUGUCACUUGUAAGAGAUUAAAUUAUAAAUUUUAGUACAGGUGACAUGAGAAUAAGAUAUAAAAUAAUGAGUGAGAUAAUCUUUUUCAUUUUUUGAAAACAUAAUAUAAACAAAAUUGAUUAUAAAGUAGGGAAGGUAGUAUGAUGUAAUUUUUUUUUUAUUUUUUGAGAAGUAGUACGAUGUAAUUGUGAUGAAAUUCAAAAUAUUUAACUUCCGAAUGAUUUAGAUUGAAUCAAUAAUUGAGAUCUAUAAUAAAAGACAAUCAAAUGAUCAAUCUUCUCGCAUAAUGUACAAUAUUUAAUUUCCUAUCAAAAUCAAAAGUGGAUGGAAGGUCACUUUCUUCAAAAGUAGACGGAAGGACGAUAGAGGUUGCAGAAAUUAUUUUUGAAAUAUUAAUUAAAGAAAACUAGAGUGGUUCCUUUGUUCUAAUAUGAUAAUUUUGGACCUGCUUGUAAAGAGAGCAUUUGUAUUAAAAUUGUUUAAAGAAAAUACCAUACCAAUUUGUAAGCAAAUAAAACUUUGUAUGGCAAUUGGUAUAUUUAGCUUUAUUUGUAUUAUUACUAAUAUAAUAGGAGAAAAAUUAACGUUUUGCAGGAGGACCUUUACAAUCCCCACCCCAUGAUCCAAGACAUAUUAUGGGGGUGUCUUCACAAGAUUGGGGAACCUCUUGUAAAGAAAUGGCCUUUCUCUAAGCUGAGACACAAUGCUCUUAAAACUGUAAUGCAACACAUCCAUUAUGAAGAUGAGAAUACGCAGUAUAUUUGCAUUGGCCCCGUCAAUAAGGUAAUUUUCAGGACGAAAUUUAACCCACUUAAUGUAAAUUUUAAGCCUAAUCCCUUCAUAUUUACAGUUUUUAUCUUUUAGCCUAAAAAGUUUGUUUUUCUCUAUUAUACCUCCCAUUGAACCAAAAUUCUUAUUCUGCCAUUGGUCAAAUCAAAUCCAUUGUAAGCUUUUUUGGAAAAAUAAUUGUAUUUACAAAGUUUUAGAAUGGUUUUUGAUACAUUGGAAGCUAUUUUAGGAAUAUUAAUUAAUAAUGUAAGAUCAAUUAAUUACAUUUGAAGGAUCUUGAUCGGAUGAGUAUUGUCACGCACAUUAUAGUACGCAAUAGGACGCGUGUCAAUUUUUUAUUAGUAGGUUUAUGUUGUGGGCCCACAACCCCACCAAUGAAAUAGUAACAUGUGUCCGCACAUAAUAUCAGCCCACUACAUUUGAAUUGAUAAAUUGUCAAACCUUUGUGCAUACAUAGGUACUAAACAUGAUUUGCUGUUGGGUGGAGGACCCAAAUUCUGAGGCCUAUAAACGUCACCUCUCAAGAAUUAAAGACUAUCUCUGGCUUGCUGAAGAUGGAAUGAAGAUGCAGGUUGCAAUUAGUUAAACAGUUUUAUUUAGGAAAAAUUUAAUCAAUUUGGGAUUUUGAUAUUAAUUAUAAAAUCCUCAAUGACAGGGAUACAACGGGUCACAACUGUGGGAUGUAACAUUUGCAGUCCAAGCAAUCUUGGCCACUGAUCUUGUUGACGAAUGUGGUUCAACACUUAAGAAAGCCUUCAGUUUCCUAAAAAACACUCAAGUAUCUAUUAAUUUCACUUAAAAGAUCAAACCUUUAAACCUAUCUUUAAUCUUAAAUUAAAACAAAAUGUUAGCGGAUUUUCUUGUUCAUAAGUCAUGAUUAAAUUUGUCAAUUAAGGUUCGGGAAGAUUGCAGUGGUGAUCUUAAUUAUUGGUACCGCCAUAUUUCUAAAGGAGGAUGGCCUUUCUCCACUGCUGACAAUGGUUGGCCUGUUUUAGAUUGUACUGCUGAAGGAUUAAAGGUACAUUUCUUUUUCCCAAGUCUCUGUUUCCUGAGCCUAGAUGCUAUGUUGGCAUGUGGGUACUUAUUAAUUAAACCGAUAAAACUUCUUACGAUGGAAAGGUUGGUUCGAUUCAUGAUCAUACAGGCAGCAAUAUUAUUAUCACAAUUGCCAGCUGACAUAGUGGGAGAAGCAAUACAAGAAAAUCAGUUAUAUGAUGCUGUUAAUGUUAUCUUAUCCUUACAGGUACUUCAUAGGCAACGGUCUUAAAAUUGAUUAUCAACUAUUUAAUUUUGUCUUUCGAAAGAAAACAUAUCAGGUUUGUACAAAUGCAUGUCUUCUUAAUUGCAGAACAGCACUGGAGGCUUUGCAUCUUAUGAGCUAACAAGAUCUUAUGCAUGGUUAGAGGUGAGAAAAAUAUUUUCCUUUCAAUUAAUUGGGUCUAUUAACUGAGGAGUGAGGCAUUGAUUAAGUUUUGACAAGAUUUUAUUUGUAUUAAAUUUCAGAUGAUCAAUCCAGCUGAAACUUUCGGAGAUAUCAUUAUAGAUUAUCAGUAAGAUAACCAAAUUAAUUAAUUAUUCAAUUGAUUAAUUAGCAAUCAAAAUCUAUAAAAUACAAAUUUUCUAAGCUACAUUAAAAUGGAGAUAAUCAAUAUGUGCAAGUUAUGACAAACUAAAUUUAAGAGUAGUUAAAAUUAAAUUAGGUGUCUAAUUUAUUACAGGAGUUAUGGUCGCUCAUAUUUCGUGUAUAAUUUAGGUAUGUGGAGUGCACUUCAGCAGCAAUCCAAGGUCUAAAAUCAUUCAUGAAAAGCUAUCCAGGACACAGGAGAAGAGAAAUAGAAGCCUGUAUUGAAAAGGCCAUCGAGUUUAUUGAAAGCAAACAACAACCUGAUGGUUCAUGGUAUGUUUAACUUGUAUAUAAAUGUCAUGUUAAUUUAAAUAAAAGUUUCCUGUAUAUCACUCUCUAAUUAAAUAUUUAGGCAUCUUGAUUUUUAAUAUGUUAAGAAAUGUUAUGAUAAUUUGAAGUGAUUAUUUAUGAAUUUAGGUAUGGGUCGUGGGGAGUGUGCUUCACAUAUGGAACGUGGUUUGGAGUAAAGGGCCUGGUGACUUGCGGUAAAACAUAUGAAAAUAGCAAUAGCAUAAAAAGAGCAUGUAAUUUCUUGCUAUCCAAACAGCUUGAUUCUGGUGGGUGGGGAGAGAGCGAUCUUUCUUGCCAAAACAAGGUAAUUAACCCAAUUUUAAGUUUAUUAAGGAUAUCCAAGUUUGUUAUUUUCCCAGGAAAUUUUGGAAAAGAAAUUGUUGAUUGCAUAGAGGGAGAAAAAACCAUUAUAUUGAUUGUACCUUUUUAUUUUUAUUUUUAAACUGCUCUUGUGAAAUCUUUGAUAAGGUAUACACAAAUCUGGAAGGAAAUAAAUUACAUCUCGUAAACACUGCGUGGGCAAUGCUCUCUCUCAUUGAAGCUGGCCAGGUAUGUAAAUUAGUAAAUAUAUUCUUUAACUAGUUUCGAAUUAUAAUUAAUCAAAUCUUAACAAUAAUGACAAUUUUUAUUUUAUUUUAUUUACAUAAAUGGAUUAGGCUCAUAGAGAUCCAAUCCCAUUACACCGCGCUGCAAAGGUGCUCAUUAAUUCACAAAUGGAAAAUGGAGAUUUCCCGCAACAGGUAAAUCUGCAUACUAUAAAGAUUUCCCGCAACAGGUAAUUAAGUUAAAAAAAAAAGGAGAGAGAGAGAGAUAGAUAAUCAUUUUGAAUAUAAUAAUUGUAAGACUUGAAAGAUAAAACUACUAUAAUAAUUUUUUUUAAUAAUUACCUUUAUAUCUAUUUUUUCUUUUAUAGGAAAUCAUGGGAGUAUUCAACAAGAAUUGUACGAUAAGUUAUUCUGCUUACAGAAACAUCUUUCCCGUAUGGGCUCUUGGUGAAUAUCUCAAUCUCGUUUUGCUACCUUCCAAGAAUUGUUGAAUGUACCAAAAUCAAUGCGAUAAUGAUCUUAUACAUGGUCAAUUAAUAAAUGAAAAAUAAAAGCCUGAAUAAUUAAAUUAAUGUAAUACUCAAUUAGCUAGUGUUCCAAUGACUUGCUCUAUCAUAAAGUGCUUUAUUGGGUAAUCAAAACAAUUAUAUAUGCAAUGUAAUUAUUUGGGUGUAUGUUAAGCUCUUUCUCACACAAACAUUACGGCAUAUCUAUCUAUCUAUAUAUAUAUAUAUUAAGUUGGGACUUGAGGAGGUGAUGUGGAAUCACCAUUUCUCAUCUUUGUAUAUUAUCUAUUAUUUAAUAAAUAGAUAAAUUUUCUUUUAGAUUUGGCUUUUCAUCUUCUCAUAAUUAAUUUGAUUGUUAUUACACAAUAACAAUUAUGUAAAGAUUUUAAUGAGGCAUAUUCUUUGUAAUGAACAUCCAAGGGGGAGUGUUAUGAAUUUAUUAAAAUAAAUAUAGAUGUUCGUAACAUAUAUCUCUUAGUCUCCCCACUAUCUUCCAUUAGCAACCUUUAGCUUCCCUAUAACUCUCACUAUCUCACAAGGAAUUAUGAUCCAUAAUUUUUCAUUAAUUUCAUGGAGUGAUUAUGUAACUAUAAAAAGGAGAGCUCAUCUUUUUGUUUUGUACACACACAAUUGGAAUGAAUAAAAUCACUCUAUAAUAUAUUCUCUCAUUUUAUUCUUUAUCUUGCGUUGCUUCUUUAUUUGUAUUGCUGGCUAAUAAUUUUUUUUUUGUUUUUUAUAAGGCUGCCUCAUCUUAAAAAAAAAUCAAUUCAUAUUUUUUAUCAAUUUCAUCAAGUAUAAAGUAAGAAAAAAAGAUAAUACUAAAUUAUUUUUUCAAAGCCGCGUGAAGCGCGGUUCUAUUUUCUAGUUUAUUUAUAAAUAAGAAGAAGAUGGGCAUUAAUCUUCGCUGACAUAAGUGAUUAAGCCUUGAAUAAAAUAGCAAGCAAUAACUUUAAACUAAUUGCCACAAAAUAAUAACGAAUUUAAUCAUUAAAAGAAUAAUGGUAAUUUUAAUUACAAAGAAUUAAUUACGCUUAAGAGAAAUAAGGAGCUGGUUUCACCUCUCCUAAAAAUCUCAACAGACCCUAAAUCGCUACAUGGACAUGUAUUGAUGGCAACAAAGCCCAAGCUACAAUUAAUUUUAUGCUUUAAUUCAAUUUGAUGCAUCAAUCAGUUAUAAACAGGAGGAGCUCUUCCAUAUAAUGCUGGAACAAUAGCAGGGAAAAACAUUUGCCUCACUCCCUCCGCUUUGAUGAUAGGAAAAAGAAUUUCUGAUGCACCCUGCAGCAUAAAUAUGAUUUUUUUUUUCUUAUGAAUCAAAAAUAUUCCAGACGAUAUUUUAAUAAUCAGUUGUAAAGUAGUAGCCAGAUAAAAAGUCGCUUCUUCUCUUAAAUAUGAAUUGUGGCAAUAAAAUAUCAUUUUAUUUUUGUCAAUUAGUAUGUUGUAAAAUGCAAACGUCCCCAUCUGAUGAGAAUUUUGAUUAAGGAAAAUGCUUACCCAAAUUAGCUUAGCACCAAUCCACAGGCGUUUAGGCGAAGGAAAUGGUAAUAACAAACGACCAACACCAAAUAUUGCCAUUGCUAAGAAAUGGAAAAUUAAGCUUGAUGGGCGAGGGUUUAGGCCUGACAGUAGAGCCAUUGCUCCUGAUGUGUAAAUUCCUCCAAGCCCUAAAUAAUCAACACUUGCUUGCCGCAUUAUCUCUCUUGCCUCAUCAGAUGAUGAUGAAAACACUUGGUAAGCAGAAUUUGCCAGAGUGUUUAUUGUAGAUGCCACGGGCUGCAUGCAUGGAAAAAUAAUAUCAAUCACUGAUGCAGCGGAAGUUUAAUAUUCAAAAUAUUCCGUUGAUUCUAGAGAAUACCGGAACAAAAGAACAACUAAAUUCACGUUGAUUCAAAAGAAUACCGCGAAUUUAGGGAUUAAGACUCGUUGAUUCCGCAAAAUGCCGAGAAUUAACUGUUCAAAUACUCACAAAGAGAUUUGAAAAUUGAAAUAUUAUUAAACUCAAAAUUCUCUUCUUGUAAAAGCUACAAAAGACACUUAUUUAUACUAAAUAAGACUUAUCCUAAUAUGAUUAGAAAACCUAUUUUAAUAAGACUUAUGCCUAAAUUAGGAAUAUUACCCAAAUAAGCAAUACAUAAACAAUAAGACUCUAAAUAGGAAACCAAAUUAAACUAGAAUACAAAUUAAUUAAAAUAUUCCUAAAUAUUAUACAUUUAAAUAUAAUUAGGAUUUCUUCAAUUUCUUGCUCUGCAUCAUUCCCGCCAGGUUGGAGAAAAUUCGUCCUUGAAUUAUGUAUGUUGUAGUCUUCAAGAACAUCUUCAUGUGCAUAAAGAUUAAUUUUUAAAACAGAGCUUUGACAUAGACGAAAAACUUUAAAUUUUCCAACUUUUGUAAUAACGUCCAUCCAAUCACUCCAAUGGCGUAAAACAAAUUCUUCUAUCAACAACUUCUCCAAUAAUGUCUUCUCGUAUUGUUCGUGUCGAACUUCAACAUAGUUGAGGAAAAACGAUUUCUUCUCAUAAUCCACUAACUGUUGAAAAAUAUCACAACUCUUUUUGUCUUCUUUCGGCAAAUCAAGAGAACAAUAAGAGAUUGUAUCAACAACUAUCUCUCUCUCCUCCACAAGAUCAAAAGAUGGAUGAACAAUUACCUCUUCUCGUCCCACAAUAUCAAGAUACUCAUCAAAUUUCGGCGAUUGAUCCAAAUCAAUGUCUUUGUGUUGAGGAUUUGUUGUAGACAUGAAUGGCCAAUUAAUAUUCUCCUCGGAAGGAAUAAUAUUGUCGAAAGGAACAAAGUUACCAUUUUCCUCAUUAUCUUCAUAACAAACAUCAUCGUGAACAACUUCAUCAAAUCCAUAUGCAUGCUUUAUGUGUAAAAAUUUUCUAUCUCGAAUUUUCUCUAAAUCUUGAGAAAUUGAACGCAAAAUCCUCAACAUCUUAACUAAAACAUCUCUCAAGAUGAAAUCUUCACGUCGAUGUUGUGAUUUCAUGAUAUAAUUUUUUUCUUUUUUUUUCUAUGCUUUUUUUGGUGUUGUUUGGGUUUUUUUUUUUUAAAAACUAAACGGAAAAAAACAAAAAAGGAAAGGUUUGGUGGUAGAUGGAGUUAGAUUAGUGAUACCAGGUUUUGGCUCUGAUACCAAGCUGAUGCAGCGGAAGUUUAAUGUUCAAAAUAUUCCGUUGAUUCUAGAGAAUACCGGAACAAAAGAACAACUAAAUUCACGUUGAUUCAAAAGAAUACCGUGAAUUUAGGGAUUAAGACUCGUUGAUUCCGCAAAAUACUUAAGACUCGUUGAUUCCGCAAAAUACCGAGAAUUAACUGUUCAAAUACUCACAAAGAGAUUUGAAAAUUGAAAUAUUAUUAAACUCAAAAUUCUCUUCUUGUAAAAGCUACAAAAGACACUUAUUUAUACUAAAUAAGACUUAUCCUAAUAUGAUUAGAAAACCUAUUUUAAUAAGACUUAUGCCUAAAUUAGGAAUAUUACCCAAAUAAGCAAUACAUAAAUAAUAAGACUCUAAAUAGGAAACCAAAUUAAACUAGAAUACAAAUUAAUUAAAAUAUUCCUAAAUAUUAUACAUUUAAAUAUAAUUAGGAUUUCUUCAAUUUCUUGCUCUGCAUCAAUCACCGAUGCACACACUUAUAUUCGACAGACAGUGACUCAAUUUGACAGUUACCUUGCGUAAGGUGUAAAAGGAUUCGAGAUAUUGGUUAAGAGAAGCAGCAUCGUGAAAAUCCUGAAGAGGCUUUAUAAGAUUUCUAAGUACGACGACGUCAGAGAGAGCCACAGUCAUUCCCCCACCAGUUAAAGGAUGGCGCAUGUUGAAAGCAUCACCCAACAAAAGGGCUCCGGGGGUAGGUUUGGGAGCCGCCGGCAUGCUUCUGUUUGUCGCUGUUCUAAUGCUGCCUUUCUCAACUUUUGAAAUGAAUGCAUCGCGAAGCUCAUCAGGAAUCUGAAACGAACAACAGUGCUCAUCAUGUAACUAUGAUUAGCUUCACAAGGGAUUCCUAAUACUUUUCGUUAACUGUGUAAUUUAACAUUCAAUAAAAUAGCCAACCAUAAACGCAUGUGUGGCAGAAAAUUCAAGAAAGAUUAACACAUGCAGCUUAACUCAACACUGGAUACAAAUUCGAAAAAUGUACCUGCGGUGCCACUUUGGUCUUCAAGUAUUUGGCCAUUUCACCAUUGGCAAUUGAAGGUAAUUUCUGACCAGCUGGUACAUCAACCAAGCAUCUAACUUCUGAGCUACUAAUUGGAUAAAAUAAGAUGGGUGAGGGAUCUGCUAAAACUACGUGUCCGUGAUUUGGGACUGGAAGCUGACAGUUCUCCAAUGCCAUACCGACAAAACAUGAUGGUAUAUCAACCUGUUAAAACAAGUCAAGUUCGAUACUAUCGAUAUUUAUUAGGAUAAACAAAUUAAGGAGACUUAUUUGCAGCCAAUAAAAUAAAAUAAAAUAAAAUACGAAGGAAAAUUUCACCUUUGGAUUGCAAAGAGACCGACGCAGAUUGGAGAAGCCACCGUCAAAUACAAUUGUAAGAGGAGCGCAAGAUUUGUGUUCUUGACCGUCCUUAGUUUUGUAAUGAACCCCUUUCACAAUUCCAUUUUCUUGAAACAGGGAUGUCACUGUCCCUUCCUCCAUCCGUACACUGAAUUGAUCAUUAAAUUGUCAAACGCCAAUUGUUUUUGUUUUUGUUAAAAAUCUGGAGCAAUCAAUGCAUUGUAUUUGAUUGUUAAUAUAAUCUAUGCAGAUAUUCGCACUUGAGAAAAGUAAAAAAUAUUAUAUGCACGUACUUGGAAAGAGAAGCAGCUUUUUCUCUCAUUCUUUGAAUGAACCGGCCAUUGUGGAAACUCCUGCCGGCAACGUUAGCCUGAAAGUUUCCCAGUGGAUAAGGAGUUUUUGUAAUUUUUCCGUCCUUGAACAGAGCGUAUCCAACUACAGGCUGGGCAUCGAUUUCUUCCACACAAUCUGCAUUCAUUCAGAUAAUUAAAACAAGUACAAUAGUGUUAAUUAAUGAAACUUGUAGUAAUUAAUUAGUUAUGUUAUUAUAUAUAUACCAUCAAGGCCUAAUUCAACUAGUUUCAGGUAUCCUCCAGGCUGUAGCAAUUCACCAACAAUUCUAUCAGGCUCCGUCAGGUCUCUUUCGAUCACAUGAACUCUUCUUCCAUCCUGCAUAUCAAUUUAGUUUAUGUUAAUUGAAAUUAAACAAACCCAAAAAGCCAAAAAAAAGAAAAAAAGGAAUUACGUACGUACCUUGCCAAGGGCAUGGGCUAGAGCAGCACCAGCAACACCAGCACCAACAAUGAUAACAUCGGGGCCGGAAACAUUCUCCGGCAGAGAAUGUUCGUUAUCUGCGGAUGUCAAAACGACGUCAUUUUCCAUCUUGUUGUAAUUCUUUCUGCUCUUGGGUAACUUCUUCAUCUUGUUAGGGCGCAAAAUUAUGAGAAGAAGCAAGCCAAUAAGAGAAGUAGCAAAGGAAGUGCCAAUGAACUGAUCAAUCAUCAACACCAUUCUUUUUUCGGUUAUGAAUUCAGACAAAUGUCUGCGAACAAUGAAUGCAAUAUCUUGAUUGUCUUUCUUGAUUUGUUGGUAAGCUUUUGAUUCGAUGAGUGAUUGUGAGCAGAGGCCAUAGAGGCUUUAUAAAUAGAAAGAUCACAUGCGGGGCGGUGGUGUUUUUGGUAAAGAGAACUUCAAUGCCAAAUUGUAACUUCUGCAAUAUCAACUGCUUUUUGAGUCAGCAGCCAGCUACGACGACUGGGCCUUCAGUGACUCUAAACUCAUCAUGUUUCCUAUUACUCAUUUUUUUAUUAUCACUAAAAUGGAAUCUUGCUAAGUCAAUUAAUACAAAAUUUUACAUCAAUUUAAGAAGGGAAAUUAUCAUUACACCACUUUUAUUUUGCUUUAUAUUCAUCCAACCACUACAAAAUUUUAAUAUGUAUUUUGCACUACUUUUUUUUUUUUUUCACAUUUGUAUCAACUAACCACUUUUGCAUUAACACUAUUAAAUAAUUUUAAUAAAAUGAUAAUUUUACCCCCAAAUAAAUUAAAAGACCAUUUUAUUUUAUAAAAACUUUAAAAAUAAUAAAAUAUAAUGAUAAAAAUAUCCCUAAAUUUAAUAAAAAUAAAUCCCAAAAUUAGAAUUUUUAUUUUUAAUAAAAAUUAUUUUAAUAUAAAAUUAUAAUUAUAAAAAUAAUUGCAAAAUUUUGGGAUUUAAUAAAAAUUCCCUAAAUUAUUAAAAUUUUAGGAUUUAUUCUUUUAAGAAAUAAAUUCAGUUAUUUUCAUAAAAUUUUACAAAAUUAUAAUUUUUAAUAAAUAAAUUCAUUUAUUUAUAUGAAAAUUUUGUAAAAUUCUAAUUUUUAAUAAAAAUAAUUAUUAAAAUUUUGUAAAAUCUAAAUUUAGUAAAAAUCAGUUGAGCACCUCUAUUUGGGAUUUAUUUUUUAUUAAAUUUAAGGAUAUUUUUUAUGAUUAUAAUUUUUAAUUUUAAAAGUUUUUAUAAGAUAAAAUAGUCUUUUAAUUUAUUUGGGGGUAAAAUUGUUAUUUUAUUAAAAUUAUUUAAUAGUGUUAAUGCAAAAGUGGCUAGUUGAUACAAAUGUGAAAAAAAGGUGGUGCAAAGUACAUGUUAAAAUUUUGUAGUGGUUGGAUGAACAUAAGGUAAAAUAAAUGUGGUGCAAUGAUAAUUUCCCAUUUAAGAAUCGUAAAAAAAUUAAUUGUGAAAAAUAUAGAAAUUCAAGCCCAUUUUAAAUUUAUGACCACACUAUAUUUUUUUCACAUAAAAUAAACUAAUAAGAAAACCGGCUUGUACACUUAAAAAUUAUUAAAAGAUAAAUUUUGCUAUAAUCCUUAGCGUUUGGGUCAAUUAUUCUAUUAGUCCUUAUAUUUUCAUUUCAAAAUAUCAAGAUUGUUCUUUCUAUCACUGUUUGAUCUAAUUUUUUUAAGAACAAAUUUAAUAUGCUACAGGUGAAAAGUAGAAAAUAAUUAAGUAUAUUUUAAAUAUUAAAAAUAGAUACACAAGAAAACAUUUUAGGAAGCUUAUAAAAUACAAGAAUUACCAAACCCUUAAGGAAUAAAGCAAAACUUUCCUUUAUUAAAAUUAAUAAAAGUUGAUAUAUGGAAUAUUGAGAACGAGUAUCGUAUUGUACAUAUAUUUGUACCCUUUAUUCUCCUUGUUGCUUGACGACAAAGGACCACGGCCAUGACAAAAUAAGUUAUAAUUACCGUCGAGUUCAAGUCUUUAUGAUUGUGAAAAUACCACCAAAACAACGAACUAUUUGCGAAUCUAUGUAUUGAUAAAUAAAAGGAUUUUUCUAUCUGGAAAUGCACUCACUUGGAGGCUGAAACUAAGGGAGUUACCAGAGAAGAUAUGUUGAGUGUUAUGCACAGAUUAGUGGGUACGCUGGCCAAGAUUGAGCUUGAUUUUGUAGCAGCUAUAUGGUGAUUUACGUGGCAUGUAAGGAACAAACUCGUCAUUGAGGGAAGAAAUCAAACCCCAUGUUUUCAUCUACUAAGGGUAAAACAGUCAUGGAUGUUAGAACAAAAAAAUAAUAAUAAUAAUAAUAAAAACCAUUACCUACAAUCCAUGAACAUUCAUGUUGUACCAACAAGAAUCAAUAACAAAUUAUGCAGAAACAUACAUGAAUCCAUAACACUAAAUUGCUCUUUAGGAUUGUGUGGUUGGCCUUUCAGAUCAACACGUUCUCCUAGUGAAUCCUUUGAUAUCAUAUGCGCUCUCUCUCUGAUGACGGUAUGUCAGUAGAGAAUAGAAUGAUAAAAGUGACCUAAGGAUCAUAACCACUUAUAUAGACAACUUUUUUCUGUUGUCGUUAGGUAUUCCUAAUUUUGUCCAUAAUAGAGUUAGAAUACAAUUAGGUUUCUACACAUUAAAAGCCCACACCCCGUUAGAUACAUUAAAGGGCAUAAUACCAAACACCUUAAUAGAUCACUUUUAACUGGGCUUAAUCUUAUAUAACAGUUGCAAUACAUAAUUAUUCACUUAUAAGCUCGACGUUGGAUUAAAGAUCCAACAAUGCUGAAUUAAAAAUCCAACAAUGGAUGCUUAUCAAAAAGUGAAGGUGAGGGAACAAAAUUGCAAAAAAAAAGCAAAUAAGAUAGAAAACUGCAGGAAUAGAGUCCACCACCUAUCAAUUGCUUAAAAGUCAAUGUUGAUGCUGUUGUCCAUAAAGAUAAGCAAGUUGCAAGUCUAGGGGAACUCACUAGGCCAAGUGAUAGCUGCAGCAAUGAAAACAUAAAAUUUCAAGGGAAUAUUUCUCUUGUAGAAACUCAAGCUGUCAAAUAGGGGAUAGAGGUGGCAAAAGAGGCAAGCCUCACAGAUGCGAUUUUUGAAACAAAUUGCAGUGAAUUGGCUGACUUAACCAACAACAAAACCAACAAUAGAACAAAAAUUUGGUGGACUAUAUCAUAGAUUCAAAGAAGCAAACAAGAUUUUCAAUCGGCAAUAGUCCAACAUGUACCAAAGUAUUGAAAUAUUCUUGCUCACUCUCUCACUAAAAGAGCUUUUAGAAGCUCGAAAUAUGUCAUAUGGCUGGAUGGAUUCCCAGCUAAUAUAUUGUAUUUGUUUUUUUUUGUAAUCUCAAAUGAAUGAAAGGGUUACUUUAAUUUCUUCUAAAAAAUAAAAAAAGAUUUUUCUAAGUUACAUGUAUUUAAACUUACAUUCAAAUUUUUUUAGUUUAAAAAUGAGUAAUAAAAUAGUGGAGUCUGAUGGGGCCUAUGAGUGAAUUUUACUUAGCUAUAAGUUACAAUAAACAUAACUUAAAGUGACUCUGAAUAAAAUCGAUAUUGUUUUUUUUUGUAAUCUCAAAUGAAUGAAAGGGUUACUUUAAUUUCUUCUAAAAAAUAAAAAAGAUUUUUCUAAGUUACAUGUAUUUAAACUUACAUUCAAAUUUUUUUAGUUUAAAAAUGAGUAAUAAAAUAGUGGAGUCUGAUGGGGCCUAUGAGUGAAUUUUACUUAGCUAUAAGUUACGAUAAACAUACUCCUUGGAUUGUCAAUAUUUACAUUUUAAGUAAUUCACACUACUUUUGUGUCAACUUUAAAUUCUAUUUAAUAUAGUAACUUUGCAGUAGCCAUUCACCGCUAAAAAAAAGUAUUAUUUUAUGGAAAAUGUUUGGUGUAAAGAAAGAUGAGAGAAAGAUUGGAGAAAUAAAGAAGAAAAGGGAAGAGAGAGUGGGUGAGUAGAGAGAAAGAAGACAAAUUUCUCUCAUAUUUCUCUACACCUAGCACUACUCUUAUUUUAUUGUUAUAAUUGCAGAAAUGUAGCUAGUCUAUAUAUAAUAGAGCAAGCUAUUUGUGAGUCUAUGUAAGUUUAAAUAAAAUUGAUACCAUUCAACUCUCAGGAUUUUCACUAUUAAUGUUUUUAAACCGUUCAUAUACUGAGACUCUGUUUUGGUUCAAGUCUUAAUAAGCGAAAAAAAAUAAUUCUCGAGAUUCAUUAAAAAAUAAAAAAUAAACAAAAUUGAUCUCUAAUAGAACUACAAGUUUUAGAUUGAUCAAUUGAUGAUGAUUCACUUUUUUGUAGUCAUAUUAUCCAACCUAAAUAUCCUCUAAAAUAAAAUAUAGAAAGGAGGAUGAGAAAAUUUGGUCCCAUCUACUUUGGGGAAUGAUCACUUUCCAUAUUUACAAAAUGAUCAAGAUUUUUGCCAUAUUUUUGUACAUAAUAGUUAUAAUUCUUGGCAUACAUGUGCAUGUGCAUGCUAUAUCUUCUUGAUUCUUAUCAUACAAGCACCACCUAAGGGUCUUGAUGGUUAUAAUAUAUAUCACAUAAUAAAAUUGAUUCCUGUCAUAUAUAUUUACAUCCCAUGUCAAAAUGCCAUGAUUAAAAAGGAUCUUCAUGUGAUUCCUAGAAAUGAUCAUUUAAAUUUAAGCAAGUUGUUUUACAAAUUCAUGAGACUUCAACAUAAGGAUACGCUGGAAACAAUUAAUGAAGUUCUUCAUUAUAUGCAUGAUGUGCAUCCGGUCGAUUUAGAUUGUCACAAAUUAAAAAAUAACGACAACGAUUAUAAUUUUUUUUUUUUGAAUUGAUCGAAUACAAAAAAGUAAUUUUACAAAUUAAAGAAUCACGCUUGAGAUAAUUAAAGAGCACCCCUCGUAAAAAUCUCAAGUAACACACCCUUAAUCACUUUAUGGACACGUAAUUGAUAGCAACAAAACACGAUUAAGAGACAUUAAUGUCAAUAAACAGGAGGAGCUCUAUACAACGCCGGAACAGUAGCAGGGAAAAACAUUUGCCUCACUCCCUCCGCUUUGAUGAUGGGAAAAAGAAUUUCUGAAGCACCCUGUAAGAAUAUGAAAAAGAAUUACUUCUCUCCUACAAAUAUUUGGACUUUACAAAAUACAAAUUGUGGUUAUAUAGUAUCACUUUAUGUUUACUCCAAUUAAUAUUUUGUAAAAUACAGGUAUCCGCGCCAGAUGAGAAUUUUGAUGAUAGAAAAUACACGUACCCAAAUUAGCUUAGCACCAAUCCACAAGCGUUUAGGCGACGGAAAUGGUAGUAACAAACGGCCAACACCAAAUACUGCCAUUGCUAAGAAAUGGAAAAUUAAGCUUGAUGGGCGAGGGUUUAGGCCUGAGAGUAGAGCCAUUGCCCCCGAUGUGUAAAUUCCUCCAAGCCCUAAAUAAUCAACACUUGCUUGCCGCAUUAUCUCUCUUGCUUCGUCAGAUGAUGCUGAAAACACUUGAUAAACAGAAUUUGCCAGAGUGUUUAUUGUAGAUGCCACCGGCUGCAUGCAUGAAAGAAAACAAUUUUAUUUUGCAAACGACAAGAAGUGAAAUAUAAUUGCCGUGAAGUUGUUCAUCAUUGUGGUUAUGAUAUAUAAUUGCUGUGAAGUGAUAUAUAAUUUUGGUUCCUUUAAAAUUCAAGCACUAAAAUUUAAUCCAGUCUGCACCUGCUUAUUUUGUUCACCCAAAGCUUCAAACACUGGCCUCACCAAUGCUACAAAUACCCCAUCAUCACUCUCAUCCCCAUGAUUACUCAAUUUCGAAGCCAAAACUCCCAUUGUUUCCACACAAGCAUCCCUCACAACAGAAUCCGAAUCCUUGAGUCGCUUAACAAUGCUAGCAACCAUUUUAUUGACAUGCGGCCCAAUAAGAGCUUGAUGAAACUUAGCUAAUGUACCCAUCAAUCUAACACAUUCCUUUCGAACUGCACUCUUCUGUUCUGAAUCGGUGUCCAAAAUACACGAAACAAAUGGAGCAAUCUUCUCUGAGGUUAAACAUUCAGCCAAUUUGUCAAGCUCCUCGACCCCUAUUUGAUAAGUAUCUCUAUCAGCUAGCUUGUUUAGUGCAAGAAUCACUUUAUGCUUAAGCUCAAAUGAGACUUGUUGUACAUUAACCCUAGAAGCUCCCCUUCCUUUCAUCUGUGAAUUUGCCUUCAUCUUGCUAAAUCACCAAAUCGUUCCUAAAAUGAGUAAUUUUUUUCUCUUAUGAAACCAUCGGUGCUACAAGAAUGCAAAUGAAUAAGGAAUUUUUCAUAAUAAUAAGUAAAUAAAUAAUAAAAUAACACCGUAAAUGACAACAUUUUCUAUUUUCAUAAUUUCUUCAAAAUUUACUCUACAGCCUACACUGUCGAGAAUUGAGCAUAAAGUAAAUUUAACAAAAGAAUUAAGGAAUCGACGAACUUACAGAGAUAGGGCGAGCUUAAACCACAAAGACUGAGACCAGCAUUACCAUGGAUAAAAAUUCUUGAGAACUGAAAAAAUUAAAUUAAAAUGAUAAUAGAGAGAUUGAAUCAUUGAAAUACUCAAAAUUAAAAUAAUAAAAUAAUUGAAAGGCGACAAUCUCAGAGAACUUGAUGCAGAUAUCGAGAACUCCUCACCUCUCUUCGCUGUGAAUCCUUAAGAGAGAGAGUGCGUGAGAUUUUGUUUUUUCUGUUUUGGCUUUGAAUUUUGCGCGCUUACUCUGUAUUUCGAAUUUCAGGAAGCCUAUGAGCGUGGGUCAAGUUAGUUCCGUUUUAUCUAGCAAGAACUUUCAUGCGAUGGUAAAGCUCUGAACCUAUUGAGAGACAGAAAAAGCUUGAAAGUGUUACCUGCAGCAGAUCCAUCGUGUCGAACUUCAACAUAGUUGAGGAAAAACAAUUUUUUUUCAUAAUCCAUUAAUUGUUGAAAAAUAUCACAACUCUUUUUGUCUUUUUUUGACAAAUCAAGAGAACAACAAGAGAUUAUAUCAACAACUAUCUCUCUUUCCUCCACAAGAUCAAAAGAUGGAUGAACUAUUACCUCUUCUCGUCCCACAAUAUCAAGAUACUCAUCAAAUUUCGACAAUUGAUCCAAAUCAAUGUCUUUGUAUUGAGGAUUUGUUGUAGACACGAAUGGCCAAUUAAUAUUAUCCUCGGAAGGAAUAAUAUUGUCAAGAGAAACAAAGUUACCAUUUUCCUCAUUAUCUUCAUAACAAACAUCAUCAUGAACAACUUCAUCGAAUCCAUAUGUCUGCUUUAUGUGUAAAGAUUUUCUAUCUCGAAGUUUCUCUAAAUCUUGAGAAAUCAAACGUAAAAUCCUCAACAUCCUAUUUAAUACUUCUUUCAAGAUAAAAUCUUCACGGCGAUGUUGUCGUUUCAUGAAUCAAUUUUUUUUUUUUUUAAGAUUUGAAGCUAAACGGAAAAAUCAAAAAGGGAUUAGAAAACCUAUUUUAAUAAGACUUAUGCCUAAAUUAGGAAUAUUACCCAAAUAAGCAAUACCUAAACAAUAAGACUCUAAAUAGGAAACCAAAUUAAACUAGAAUACAAAUUAAUUAAAAUAUUCUUAAAUAUUAUACAUUUAAAUAUAAUUAGGAUUUCUUCAAUUUCUUGCUCUGCAUCACCUUACAUCUUUUCCCCUUAAGAAUUUUUGGUUGUCUUCUUUUUAAUUUCAUAUUCAGAUUAAUUCUCAACCGCGAUACAUUAAACCCAAAUUUCUUUUUUCCCAUCCAUAAAAUAGAGUUGUUAACAUUGCAAUGCAUUUUGUGAAACCGACGUUUCCUAUUACAAAAAUACAUAACCAGUUUCAAAGGUUGCCAGUCAAGUUCUCAUUUAAAAUUUAUCUAACUCCAACCAUUAGAUUCAAUCAUUUUUAAUCCAACAGUUUAUCUGAAUGAAGAGAAAUAGUAUCGUAUGUUGCAACGCAGGUGACCUGUAUAGAUAUAUAUGAUAGGACUUUUUUUUAAUUAAAUUAGUCUAAUUCUUUAUUUGGUGCUAUAAAGAUAAAAUCUUAGGAUCACACUAUUUAACCCUGGUCCCACGUUUUUAAUUUUUAUGAAGCAAAAUAAAAAUUUUAUCCAAUGAUAAUUGUAAGGAUAGCUUUGUAAAUUUUUUUUUUCAUGUUUACAAGUAAUUGUAGAAUAACUACGCUAUAAAAUAUUUUUAAAUAUUAUUAUAUUAUAUUAUCAUAUUGAUAUUUAAAUAUUUAUUUACUUUAAAUUUUUUUAUUUUACUUAGCUAAUAAUAUAAAUGUUGGAAUUUCUAAAUUACACACACACACACACAAUAUUCAGUAGUUUUUUUAUUUAAUAAUUUGAAUAUUCAUAUUAAAAAAAUUUAUGUUCAUAAAUGUACUCUUAUAAAUAAAUAAAUCAAUACUAGUAUAUUUCAUUUUCUUCUAAAUUAGUUUAGUACAAUCCUAGGAUAUGUUUGACAUGCAGGAUUGAAUUCAACUAACUACUAAAAUUAGAUUGAACUAUAUUAGAAUUGAAUAGAGUGAAUUAUAUGUAGUAUUGUCUUUUGUUUGUUAUAAUAUCAUGAGUAUGCUAAAUUUAAUUUAAUAAAGCUAAAUAACUAUUUAAACAGUACAAUUAUUUUAAAUUAUAUUACUACUUGUUAAAUUUAAUAUUUUGUAAAUAAAUUAUUGAAUAUAAUUUUGAUAUUUACUCUUAUAUUAAAUACUAGUGUCAACAAAUUGUUGAAUUUAAAUUUGAUAAUUAGUAUAAUAUAAAAUUUUGGUUUAAAUAAAAAUGAAAAGAGUGAUAAAGAAGAUUUUAUCCUACUUACAUUAAUAACCUCAUUACGGAUUAAAUUUUGGACUAAUCAACUAAUUUAGACAGCCAAACAUGCCCAAGAUUGGAUUAAUUUUUUAUUUUGUCCCAAAAAUUAGUCCAAUCCUAUCUUAAGUUUAGUUUAGUACAAUGGUAUAGUAUACUAAACACGAGAUAAAACCAAAUCUAAUAUAAUCUAAUCUUAUCAUAUCCUUCCAAAUACAACAUAAUUUUACAUAUCAUCCAAUCAUAUCUUAUGUUAUUCCAUCCUAUCCUAUACUAUCUUACGUGCCAAACACAUCCUAAUUGUUACUUGUGGAUAUUAUGUUGCCACUUUGAUGAAACGGACGUCAACAUGACAAUAUCCCAUCGCGUAAAUCUUAAAACUGUAGGCUAACAUCUUAAGAAAAGGACAGUGUGGACUGCGUUAUAUAUAUAUAUAUAUAUAAUUUGCGAAGAAGAGCUUUCACAUAAAACGAUUUCUUUAGAGGAAGAAGUUUUUGAAAUUUCUUUAGAAACAUGUUUUUCUUUCUCAGGAACUUGAGAAAGAGCUUUAGUUUGAGAAAUAUUUUGUAAGGCGAGCAUAAGCUCUGGAGACUUUGUAAUAGAAUUCAUCCAUUCUUUUACCUGAUCUUCGGAGGUAAUGGCUUUAUAUUGUGCUUCAUGUUCUUCAACCAUUUCAAUCCAAGAUUUGAUGGGUAUGGCAGAAGAAAGUAAUUUUUCUUUAGAGGGGGUUGAAAGAGGUUCUUUGGAGGUUGCUUGUGACUCAGUGUCUUUAAGAACAGCUUUACCUUUAUCUUUUUUCUUGGGCGGCAUUAUCUGUUUUGAAGAAAUAGGAUCGAAGGGUGGAAGUGAUUAAGCAGAAUUCAAAAUUUCAAACUUUAAUGCAAGUGAUUAAUAGGAAUCUAUUAAGUACUUUAUUUAGUACGUGACGUUGUUUCCAGAUCGAUGCAGAACUUAAUCUGCCUUUGUGACCAGAUCUGACUUAGAACAUAUCAAUAUCACGUACGUUCUGUUUUCCAGCCGAUAUACUAAAAUAUUUUAUUGGUCUUUAUUCAAACUUAGCAACAAAAUCUAAAGGCUCAUAAUUAAUACUAGAUCUGGAUCCCAGAAAUAGUAUUAUGAUUUAUUGGAGGGAGAAGAGAAAAUACGGCCAAGGGAGAGAUCUGGUCUCUAUGCCUUGGAAGAAUGUAGCAGUAUAUAGAAAUUUAAAUUGCAGAAAUUUAAACAUACAUUUGAAACUUUAAAUAGAUUAAAUGAGAGAUGCGUACAUAUAUUGCUUGAAUCCGAGAGCUUUACAAUCGAAAGUCUUUACAGAUCUUGUAGAAAGGGAAAAUAGAAAGGGAAAAUUACAAGACAGGAAUUAUUUUCCUUGAUGUCUUGAUCCUGAUUUCCCUGGAGAGAGAGAGAGAAUACAAAUGUUGUGUAAAAUAAAAACUCUGCCUCUCUAAUGUUACAAAGCUUUGAAUUUAAACUAGCUGAAGUUUGAACUGUGGCGAGUCUGUAGCUUCAACUGUAGCGAAACUGUAGUUUUACAAACAUGGUUGGUGAGUGGAGACAACAUGAUGGUGAAAGGACUUAGCUUUAUUGGCUUUUGCUGUAGCUUCACAUGCGUAGAUGUUGGAGCGGAAUCGGCAAGACAUGUGGGGGACAACAUCUUUUCUUCUUUACAAUUAUGAAAGAAAACAAAAAUGGGUGAAGAGACAUGUGCACUCUCACUUGUGUCCAGGGGACCAUUGAAAGGAAAAUACAAAUUUAAUAAUUACAAGAAUUUACAUAAGUGAAAAUUGCAGAAAAAUAUAGAAAAUGAAGACAAUCGUUACUCUUUUUUUUUAAAAAAAACUUUAAUGUUUUAAUGGGGAGAAAAUUCCGAAGCAAUCAUCUUCAUUUUCAUCUCCGAGGGAGAUGAACGGUUCAGCUUCUCCAGAGGAGCUUGAUGAAGAACUUGCAGCAGAUGUCUCUGAUCUUGUGGCAAGAAGUUGUUGCAUUACUUUGAAAUAUUCAUCCUCGGUUUUGGCACUGGCCAGCAGAAAUUGGGCUUUUGCUCUCUGGGCAAGGAAAGUGCAUUGGGCUUUGGUGACGUCUUUACUUGGGGCAAUGAGGCCUCUUGUAGAGAGUCAGGAUUGGACCGUGGCUUAAGACAACUUUGACUGUUCAUCAAAUUUAGACCACCAUUUGACUUUGAAGGUUCUUUGUAAGACUAGUUGGGUGUCUAAGGUGUGGUAUUAUAAAUUCCACAUCCAAACCCUGGGUAGGAAAAAGUUUGUACAGAAACAGAAAAAAUGAGGAAACCUCUUCUCAGACUCAGAAGGAACAUAAUGGGCUUUAAAUAAAUUUAAACAUUUAAUGGCAUUUUGGGUUAGAAUAUCGGGGCUUGGCCCAAAAUAGUUCCUCCAAAUUUGGAACCAAUUUGGAAGGCUUUGGAUGAUUAUUUUUGAAUUGAAGAAAAAUAACCAAGAGUGGGACUUUUUCAGAUUUUGGAUAAAAAAAUGUGUUAAACCAGGCCUGCUGAUAAUCCCAAUAGGAGAAAGAUAAGCAGUGGUUUAAACGUUUUUAAAAAUUGGCGGGAAAAAUUUUUGGUUUGUGGAGUUGGUCACCCUACUGAUUUGGACUUAAGACUUUAAGAAUGGUAGCCGUGGAAUAGACUGGCUCAGAAUGAGCUUCACUAAGGAAAAAAUGUUUAAAUUUUACUGACUCAGUGAACUCAAGUAUGCUUUGGUAGAAAGACUGGGGUUUGGAUAAAUCCCAUGGUUUGAAAAAUCAGCCUUUCGGGAAAAUCUUUGAAACUGCUUGAAAUGGAUUAGAAUGAUAAAACCCAUCCUCCAUAAUUAAAACAUUUUGUUGAUAGGCUUUAUGAAACCAAUCCGAAGAUUUCUUGUGAAAGCUUUGAUUGAGAAACAAUAAUUUGCGAAGAAGAGCUUUCACAUGAAACGAUUUCUUUAGAGGAAGAAGUUUUUGAAAUUUCUUUAGAAACAUGUUUUUCUUUCUCAUGAACUUGAGAAAGGGCUUUAGUUUGAGAAAUAUUUUGUAAGGCGAGCAUAAGCUCUGGAGACUUUGUAAUAGAAUUCAUCCAUUCUUUUACCUAAUCUUCGGAGGUAAUGGCUUUAUAUUGGGCUUCAUGUUCUUCAACCAUUUCAAUCCAAGAUUUGAUGGGUAUGGCAGAAGAAAGUAAUUUUUCUUUAGAGGGGGUUGAAAGAGGUUCUUUGGAGGUUACUUGUGACUCAGUGUCUUUAAGAACAUCUUUACCUUUGUCUUUUUUCUUGGGCGGCAUUAUCUGUUUUGAAGAAAUUCCCUGGUCAGAAAAUCAGAGAUAGAAUUUGUAUCACCUUUAAUAAAUUCGAUAUCAAAAUAAAAAACACUCAAAAUGGCUUGCCAUCUUGCAAAAAUCUGUUUUGAAGCAAUAUUUUGAACUUUUUUUUUCAAAACAUGUUUUGCAGCUUUGCAAUCAAUUCUGAGUAAAAAUUUUUUAUUUAAUAAAUCACUUUGAAAUUUAGAUAUACAUAAAACAAUAGAAAGAAUUUCUUUUUUAAUAGUAGAGUAAUUUCUUUGACAUUCAUUCAAAUGAGCAUAAACAUACUGUACUAUUUGUUCUUUAUUAUUAUGGACUUGCUUUAAUAUUCCUCCAUAACCUAAAUCUGAUGCAUCAGUUUCGACAACUUUAGGUAAUGCAGGAUUAGCAAGAAAUAAACAUGGAAUAGCUUUAACAGAAUUUUUUAUGAGUUUAACAACUUUAGUAUGUUCAUCAGUCCAUGCAACAUGAUUCUUUUUUAACCUAUCAUGUAGAGGUUUUGACAUCCUAUUGAUGUUUGGACAAAAAUCAAGAACAUAAUUUAAACUACCUAAGAAUCUUUGUAAUUGGGUUUUAUCAAGGAUUCUAUCAGGGAACUUGUCAGCAAAGACAAGAGAUCGCUCAAUAGGAGUAAUAGUUCCUUUGAAAAUGUAAUGACCUAGGAACCUGAUCUUUGUUUGAAACAAAGAAACUUUAGAACUAGAAAUAGUUAAGCCAGCGUUUCUAGUGGCAAGGAAGAAAGUCUUUAGAUGCUUAAAGUGUUGGUCAAUAGUUUGGGAAAAGAUCAACACAUCGUCAAUAUAAACAAUGCAAAAUUCAGAAAAAGGGUUAUAAAUAUCAUUCAUAAUUCUUUGGAAUUCUGAAGGUGCAUUUUUUAAACCGAAUGGCAUUACAGUCCAUUCGUACUGUCCAAAAGGAACAGUAAAAGCAGUUUUAUAACGGUCUUUAGGGUGAAUUUGAAUUUGCCAAAAUCCAGAUUUCAUAUCAAAUUUUGAAAAAAUGAAAGCAGCAUGAAGUUUCUGGAGCAAAUCCUUUUUAUUAGGUAUAGGGUACCUAAUCCAUUUUAAUGCUUUAUUCAGGGGUUUGUAAUUUAUGACUAAUCUGGGUGUUCCUCUUUCUAUUUCAGAAUUCUUGUUGACAUAGAAAGCAGCACAAGACCAAGGAGACCUAGAUUUGACAAUGAGGCCUUUAGAUUCUAAAUCUUUUAUUUCUUCUUUGCAGUGUUGUUCCAAUUCCAUGUUCAUUUGGAUUGGACGGGCUUUGGUAGGUAUUUGUUUUUCAUCAAAGGAACUUUCAUAAGGCAAAUCUACCAAAUGUUGUUUUCUAUUCCAAAAAACAGAUGGUAAAUCAGCACAUAUUUCUCUUUCAAUGAGGUCUUUUAAAUCAGAGAUUUUUCUUUUUACAAAUUCAUUACGUAAUUGGUUUUCGAUUCUUUGUAGACUCAAAUCCUUUUUUAAACAAAGUAAGUCAUUUUGUUUAGAUUUGAGAAGGGCAUUGAUUUGGUUCUGAUAAACAGAACAAGCUUUAACAAUAUUUAAAUUUCUUAUUUUAAGGCUUUUCAAUAAAGGGAAAAAUGAGUUUUUCUUCCUUUGCUUUAAAAGAUAUACUAUCAUAGUUGACAGUAUAAGGGGUAAUGAGAUUAAUAAAGGGAGUUCCUAAUAUAACAGUAUGAUGGAUAUCAUUUGUUAGGAGGAAGGAAGUCCUGAAUUCAAAACCAUUGUUAUGAAUUGAGGCGUCAACUUUAGAUUUGACAUUUAGUUUUGAAUUAUUGGCGGCAGAAAGUCUUUCUUUAGUUUUUUCAUGAAACCUUCUGGGGACAAUAUCAUCUUAAUAUAUAUAUAUAUAUAUAUAUAUAUAGAGAGAGAGAGAGAGAGAGAGAGAGAGAGAGAGAGAGAGAGAGAGAGAGAGAGAGAGUCAUGGACUUUAUUAAAGUUCAAAAAAAGUAUUAAGUUAUAUGGUUUAAUAGUGUAAUGGCCUCUUCUCAAAAAAAAAAAAAUAGUGUAAUAAGAGACUAUAUGAUUUAAUAACUCUAUCAAAUUUUAACAAAAUCUAAAUUCAAGAUUGGAAUAUAUCAUAAGGUAAGAAUUAGGAUGGCUUUCUAUUUAUAAUUGUUCCCGAAGUAGAAAACCUUCGUUUUGCUCCAAAAUAGCUUCUUGCAAAAGGGAUUGCUUUUGACAGGAUGGGAUCAUUAUCCGAGAUUUUGUUAAAGUCCAGACCAGAUCCGGGAUUAUGUAAAGUACAAAAUCCAAAUCACGUAUUACGCACUAUCAUGUUCAAUUUAAUAAUCAUUUAAUUUGGAGACAAUUGAAAUUCAUGUGCUAGGCGACGGCUCCUAUAAUGUGAUUAAAUCGUAACCCAAGUGUUAAUUAAGGGUACCCUUGUAAUUGUAAUUAGAAUUAAUGCCUAUAUAAUCACCUUGAUGUAAUGCUAAUUCUUCAUGCACACAUAUUGCUUUGCUUAAAGAUUGCGUCAUUGCUGCCAAAUUGCUCCAAAUCUCUUCAUAUAUAGCUUCUUUUUUUUUUUUUUAAAAGAAUGUGGAAAUUGAAGCUUUCGGAAGGAAAUUGUGAACAUGAUCCAUGGAUUACAAGUUUGAACAAUCAUAUUGGCAGACAAUUCUGGGAAUUUGACCCAAAUCUUGGAACUCCUGAAGAACGGCAACAAGUUAACAAACUUCGCAAUGAUUUCACCGAGAAUCGGUUUCUAACGAAACACAAUUCUGAUCUAUUUAUGAGACUUCAGGUAAAGAAAUAUCAUUUGUAUGUAUGUAAACUUUACACCAAGAUUUUCAUCAUUUUCGCACUUUAUAAAAUGCAGAUUCAACCAUUAAUAUAAUUCUCAUCAUGAAGUCGUCAGGAUUUGAGAAUUACUGUGUAAUAUAUUAAUUGUGUUUAUGUGAUAUGUACAGUUUGCGAAGGAGAAUGCAUGUGAGAUGAAGCAGCUGCCUCAGGUGAAAGUAAAAGAUGAAGAAGAAAUAUGUGAAGAGCAAGUUGUGAGUACAACAUUGAGGAGAGCUCUGAGAUUCUAUUCUAGUCUCCAGGCCGAGGAUGGCUUUUGGCCUGGUGACUAUGGUGGUCCUUUAUUCCUUCUUCCUGGCUUGGUAUAAAUAUAUAUCUAUGGUGAUACCUAGUUUACUUGUCUUUUGAAUGUUUAUAAUACUUUGGAUAAAAAAAAUACAGACACACAGAAAUGUGUGUAGAGUGUUUUUAAUCUCUUACUUGAAAUACGCAUUUAACAAAUUAGACAAUCUCAUAUGAGACAUGCAGUUGCAUUAUAUGGGAGAGGUUUAAUAUGACCAUCUGAUCAAAUCAUGAUAUUUGUCUUAAAAUUCAUUUAUUUGUAUGUACUUCAAAAUUAGUCAAUUUCAAAAUGUGUGUGUAUAAUCAAAACUUUAUUAGAUGAAUGUGCAAAUGAUGAUCUCAUGUAAGACUUUCUUGUACUUGGACAAAUUGAAGCCAACUUUCGGAUUAAAGAAAUAUGAUCUCCUUCUUCAAAUCUUUAUUUAUUUUCGUGAAAAUUAACGAAAAGAAAAGAAAAAAAAAAUUGCAAUAGUCGUUUUCACUAUGUUAAUGAUCCCAGCCUCCCAAAAUCAUAUUUUUUUCUCUUCGGAAAUCACAUCAGCACCAAUACGAGAAAACUAAACUUCAAUAAUGUUAUCAUUUUUGGUAUUUUUUUAUGUCUAUACAUGUCUAUAUAGUUUAAUAUAAGGUUGUUAUUAGUCACAAAUAAUUGAUUAAAACAAAUACAAAUUCACUGUAUUUACAAUUUCAUGGUCCCCUUCUCUCCCUUUCUGUUAUUUAAAAAAAAAAUUUGUAGGUAUUUCUAGCAAAAAAAACUGCUUUCAAUGUCUUAUUCAUAUUGUUGUCAUCAUGACAAGCAUCAACAUUCAUUUUUUUUAAAAAAAAUUAUGCAUAUUUUUCAAAAUUAAGAUUCUUUUUUUCAAAUCUAUACAUAUUUUUCAAAAUUGAGUCGCAUCAUUUAUAUAUCCAUUUUCAAACUCAAAAGCAAUAUUUAUGUGUACUAAAUUAUGAGACAGGUGAUGGGCCUAUUUGUAACCGGUGCCUUGAAUGCAAUUUUAACAAUGGAACAUCGAAGGGAAAUGAUUCGUUAUCUAUAUAACCACCAGGUAUAUUUUUUUAUUUAUAAAACUACAUAAUUAAACAAUUCUAUUAACUGUGUAGAUUAAUUUCUCAACAAAUAUUUUACAAACUGAAGGUGUUUAUUGAAAUUAAGCCAUAACUUUUGCGGAGUAAUGUGAAAGUGAAACCAAUAAUCUACAGAACAGAGAUGGGGGAUGGGGAUUGCAUAUAGAAGGGUGCAGCACGAUGUUCUGUACUGCGCUAUCAUAUGUCACUUUGAGACUGCUUGGAGAGACAAUGGACGGUGGGGAUGAUGGUGCCAUGGAAAAAGCCCGAAAAUGGAUCCUUGAUCGCGGUGGGGUCACCUCCAUUCCAUCUUGGGGAAAGAUGUGGCUUUCGGUAUGAACCAUUCAUUAC